GCUUGUCUCAAAGAUUAAGCCAUGCAAGUCUUGGUAUAAGCUUUUAUACGGUGAAACUGCGAAUGGCUCAUUAAAUCAGUUACAGUUUAUUUGAUGGUGGAAGCUACAUGGACAACCGUGGUAAUUCUAUGGCUAAGACAUGGGAAAGGGCCCGACUCUUGGAGGGCUGUGUUUAUUAGAUACAAAGCUGACAUUGUUGGUGAGUCAUGAUAAAAGCGUACGGACCGCACGGUCGCAAGACGGGCGGUGGAUCAUUCAAGUUUCUGCCCUAUCAACUUUCGACGGUUGUGUAUUGGACAACCGUGGUGACCACGGGUAACGGGGAAUCAGGGUUCUAUUCCGGAGAGGGGGCCUGAGAGAUGGCCACCACUUCCAAGGAAGGCAGCAGG
rnacentral:rRNA from 1 species